UGCCAGUCUAGUCAGUUUUUGUACAUGGAAUUGGAGGGAGGUGCUAUCUUUUACUUGCACUCUGGAAGCAAAAUGCCUUGAGUGAUUCUCUAGCAACUCUCAGAAUACUGAAGAGCAGAAUAAGAAAGCAUAGAACAAAGGAUCUAUAAACUCACAUUAACGCCAAGUAUCAGUCAGGUUCCAUUGUGCGAAAUUUUCUUUUGGAGUACACUGGAAAUCGCUGCUACUUCCAAUUCAGAAAACAACUGUUACAUAUGACAA